GUCCUGUGAUUAUUAGGUGAUCUGUGAUGUAGGAGAUCCUGAGAAUUCCUGCUGCUCCAAGGAUGAUUGGCAGGUGGCUUUUCCCAGGAACAGCGGGCUGGAGAUGUGGGAUCUGGAGUGAAGAUAGAAACAGAGGAAGGAAACAAGCACAUCCCCCAGAGAGCAAACCAGUGGCAAGGAAAAACUCCUUAGAAGGAAGAAACCUUGGGAGGAACCAGACUCAAAGGGGAAGCCCAUCCUCCAAGUGCCGGCACAGGAAGUGAUAUGAGCAAAAUGUCAAGCAGGUGGCAGCAAAGCACGUGUGAAGAAGAGGCCAUCAGCAGUACAAAGCACCGGCUGUACAGGUUCCCAGCAGACAAUCCAAACCUCCUUCAUUAACUGACUCUCAUGGUCUGACUAGACAGUCUGAGCAGAUCUGCGUGAAAGAGGCCUCACUGCAGUUAGCAUAACCAUUUAUUUUACAGCUCUUCUGUCUCAUUCUACUCCAUAAAGGUCACAUC